UACAGGGGGUGCAAGCGUUGUUCGGAAUUACUGGGCGUAAAGCGCGGGCAGGUGGCCUUUUAAGUCCUUUGUGAAAUCCCGGAGCUCAACUCCGGAUGUGCAUAGGAUACUGGAAGGCUAGAGACUGGUAGAGGCGAGCGGAAUUCCUGGUGUAGCGGUGGAAUGCGUAGAUAUCAGGAGGAACACCGGUGGCGAAGGCGGAUCUCUGGGCCGAUACUGACGCUGAGGAGCGAAAGCGUGGGGAGCAAACAGG
rnacentral:rRNA from 1 species